CUAACGUGGAGUACACUACCCAGCACCAGGGUGACUUCAACACAGCUGCAUAGUUACUUGAAGGUUGAGAAAAAAAAAUCGUCAGGCAGGCAUAUUCUUUCAACCGUCAAGUCCAGCAGCUGUCAAAAUGCAAUGGAAAUCAGGUGAUUUCGGAAGGGCUGACCCCCAAAACGGACUUUGGAAUCUGCCUGCCUUCAUGGAAGUGUCACAAGCAUUUUAUACUAGGCUAUCUAUU